CAGAGAAUCAUUUUUCCAGCAGAAUGACAGACAUCCUGUCCAGACGCAGCACGUGGAAAAAAUAAAAAGAGCAAACUCACUUCUGGGAAACUCAUCAGGGAUCAGCGGGGAAACGUGACAGGCAACAUCAGGACGGUGCCAGGGGGUCCUGGUAGACCAUCAGCACCAGGAAGACCAGGACGACCGGGAAGACCCUGACGGACACAACUUUGUCUUUGAACAACACAGUCGGCAGAACCGAGACAAGCCACCAGACGGUACUCAUGGACGUUUGUCCCGCUGACCACGACAUCCACUUUAAAAACCAAACCGCAAACCAAAGCUUGAGGGUUUUCGGGUAAGUACUUUCGCAAUGCCUGACCACCUCUGAGCUUCCAUGGACAUGACAGCAUGUGGGGGGUCAUACACAGAACACAAAGCAUGCUGACGGAGCAGAUA